rnacentral:rRNA from 1 species
GAUGAACGCUGGCGGCGUGCCUAAUACAUGCAAGUCGAGCGAACAGACGAGGAGCUUGCUCCUCUGACGUUAGCGGCGGACGGGUGAGUAACACGUGGAUAACCUACCUAUAAGACUGGGAUAACUUCGGGAAACCGGAGCUAAUACCGGAUAACAUGUUGAACCGCAUGGUUCAACAGUGAAAGACGGUCUUGCUGUCACUUAUAGAUGGAUCCGCGCCGCAUUAGCUAGUUGGUAAGGUAACGGCUUACCAAGGCAACGAUGCGUAGCCGACCUGAGAGGGUUAUCGGCCACACUGGAACUGAGACACGGUCCAGACUCCUACGGGAGGCAGCAGUAGGGAAUCUUCCGCAAUUGGCGAAAGCCUGACGGAGCCACGCCGCGUGAGUGAAGAAGGUCUUCGGAUCGUAAAACUCUGUUAUUAGGGAAGAACAAAUGUGUAAGUAACUAUGCACGUCUUGACGGUACCUAAUCAGAAAGCCACGGCUAACUACGUG